rnacentral:rRNA from 1 species
UACGAAGGGGGCUAGCGUUGCUCGGAAUUACUGGGCGUAAAGCGCACGUAGGCGGCUUUCUAAGUCGGGGUGAAAUCCUGGAGCUCAACUCCAGAACUGCCUUCGAUACUGGAAAGCUCGAGUCCGGGAGAGGUGAGUGGAACUGCGAGUGUAGAGGUGAAAUUCGUAGAUAUUCGCAAGAACACCAGUGGCGAAGGCGGCUCACUGGCCCGGUACUGACGCUGAGGUGCGAAAGCGUGGGGAGCAAACAGG